UUUCAAAGUCGGUUAAAAAGCUACACGAAUCCAAAGUUUGAAUUUUAAUUGCUAUUAACCUUCCAAGAGUAAAUUUACUUUCUCUUAAAGCAGUGUUACGUUUGAAAAAUAUUAUCGGUGGUCUCUAUAGACCAGAGUACUGAUGUGUAUGCUCUUAAAUUGCAAAUUACAUUUGGAAUACCUGUAGAGAAGGUGAUGUCUUUCCAGUUACGCACAGGAAGUGGUUGAUGUUACUCAAUGUACAGCACUUCUUACGGUAAUUCUGACCAGUAUACCACUUGUGCUCUGCGGUGUGAACAUUAUCAGUAAGCAACCGGUUAUGAUAAAAAUGCAGUUCGUAUUUAUGGCUGGGACUGCGUUUCUGGAGGUUUUCAUGUGUGUGUGGCCAGCUGAUGUCAUGUUGGACGUGAGUAGUAACGCUAUCCGAAAAGUGUACGAAUCGACUUGGUACGCACAGACUGUGAAAAUGCAGAAAAUUGUCCUCCUCGCGUUAUUACCUCAGAAGCCAUUAACCAUCAGUUUGGGGUUCAUCGUUCCGGUUCUGUCGCUGAACUUUUAUUGCUCGUACGUUUCAAAUGCAUUCUCCAUAUUUACUGCUUUACGGCUCGUAUUGAACGAGCACGCCGAAAGUUGAAUACGUACGACUAAUGUUAUUUUAUAGACUGCUGGUUGAUUAGUAGUAGAUCGAAGUAUAUCUCGAUGUUCAUGAAAUGUAUGUUAAAAUACAUAAUUGAAAUAGAAUUAUAGAACCAAUCAACAC